rnacentral:rRNA from 1 species
UAAAGGCCUACCAAGACUAUGAUGUGUAGCCGGGCUGAGAGGUUGAACGGCCACAUUGGGACUGAGACACGGCCCAAACUCCUACGGGAGGCAGCAGUAGGGAAUUUUCGGCAAUGGAGGAAACUCUGACCGAGCAACGCCGCGUGAACGAUGAAGUAUUUCGGUACGUAAAGUUCUUUUAUUAGGGAAGAAUAAAUGAUGGAAAAAUCAUUCUGACGGUACCUAAUGAAUAAGCCCCGGCUAACUAUGUGCCAGCAGCCGCGGUAAUACAUAGGGGGCAAGCGUUAUCCGGAAUUAUUGGGCGUAAAGGGUGCGUAGGCGGUUAAAUAAGUUUAUGGUCUAAGUGCAAUGCUCAACAUUGUGAUGCUAUAAAAACUGUUUAGCUAGAGUAAGAUAGAGGCAAGUGGAAUUCCAUGUGUAGUGGUAAAAUGCGUAAAUAUAUGGAGGAACACCAGUAGCGAAGGCGGCUUGCUGGGUCUUUACUGACGCUGAGGCACGAAAGCGUGGGGAGCAAACAGGAUUAGAUACCCUGGUAGUCCACGCCGUAAACGAUGAGUACUAAACGUUGGGUAAAACCAGUGUUGAAGUUAACACAUUAAGUACUCCGCCUGAGUAGUACGUACGCAAGUAUGAAACUUAAAGGAAUUGACGGGACUCCGCACAAGCGGUGGAUCAUGUUGUUUAAUUCGAAGGUACCCGAAAAACCUCACCAGGUCUUGACAUGCUUCUGCAAAGCUGUAGAAACACAGUGGAGGUUAUCAGUUGCACAGGUGGUGCAUGGUUGUCGUCAGCUCGUGUCGUGAGAUGUUGGGUUAAGUCCCGCAACGAGCGCAACCCUUAUUGUUAGUUACCAGCACGUAAUGGUGGGGACUUUAGCAAGACUGCCAGUGAUAAAUUGGAGGAAGGUGGGGACGACGUCAAAUCAUCAUGCCCCUUAUGACCUGGGCUACAAACGUGAUACAAUGGACUGUUACAAAGGGUAGCUGAAGCGCAAGUUUUUGGCGAAUCUCAAAAAAACAGUCUCAGUUCGGAUU